rnacentral:ncRNA from 2 species
AAUCAACCCUGGGGGAGGCGCAAGCCUGAGAGUUUCCGGUUUCGGAAAGACCCCACGAACUUGAUCCGGGUAAUUCCGGCGUAGGGAACGGGAAUAUUAAGAGA